AGAACGAACGCUGGCGGCAUGCCUAAUACAUGCAAGUCGAACGAACUCUUCGGAGUUAGUGGCGCACGGGUGCGUAACGCGUGGGAAUCUGCCCCUUGGUUCGGAAUAACAGUUGGAAACGACUGCUAAUACCGGAUGAUGACGAAAGUCCAAAGAUUUAUCGCCAAGGGAUGAAGCCCGCGUAGGAUUAGCUAGUUGGUGAGG
rnacentral:rRNA from 1 species